rnacentral:tRNA from 1 species
UCCCUGGUGGCUCAGUUGGUUAAAGAAUUUGCCUGCAAUGCAAGAGACCCAGGUUCAGUCCCUGGUUCAGGAA